AUCAUGAUAUUUGAUAUUUUAAAACACUGUAUAUUAAGAGGAAUAUAUUUCUGUUUUAUGUUUUCAUUUUAAAUUACAGUAUUUUCUGUGGGUCUUUACCGGUACUGCGUGUUAAGGUUUGGGCGAGCGGGAGACCUCAUACGUUGGCAUGGACGAUUUGGACACACCAUACUGUCGGUGUUGGAGGUAUUGAUGAGGAAGCUUUGAAAAGCCUUAUCCGUGAUGACCUGAAGGAUCUUUUCCCUGACACUGAAAAAUUUCUCAGGAGAAAGAAGCUUUGGGAUGUCAUCAUUCAAAAGUGUGAAAAUAAUACCGAACAAGAUGUUAACUCUUGUAGUGGAAGUGGGAUUAUACCCUCAAUUAGUGCGGUGCCACCAUGCCAGCCUCACAGGUUCAGACUCCUUGCCCAAGACUUUGACCACUCCACUGCACCAUCCACUGCACCUGCAGAGGAUGUUGUUGCUGGCCAGAACAUGAAGAUACAGGCGAGGUACUACAAAACAUUGAGCAACAUGCACCAGAAGCCCAACGCAAACCCAACCAAGGUGAUGUUGCCCAGAUUUUGGACCUUGAGUUUGACACCAGCAGCUUUCAUUGAUGCAGAUGUUCCAAAAAAGACCGACCCACGAAAAUCUUUGAGACAUAUGCAUGCUUCAAGAACACUCAAAAUGCAAUGGAUGAGCUGCGUCGCAUCCUGGGUGGUGGGGAUGUCACAGCACCAACUCCAAAUACAUCCAGGAAAUGAAGGGAAGAUGGGCAGACUUUUGUGCUAAGGUGCAGUUCUAUGGUGUGUGGAAGAAGGCCCUCAAACCCCCUUUCUCCUUGGAUCUGCGUGGAGUGGAUUUCAUCGCCCUCCUCAAUGCACUCCAUCACUUUUUCCCUCACCAACUCCACCACCAAAGCGGCUCGGAAAUGCCAGUGAGGCACUGCUUCAUAUACCAAAGCCGGGCGAGGAUCCUGGGCUAUACCUGGAGAAGCGACCUCUCUCCUCUCCAGUGCUGCUUUUUGAUGGAACAACCUGCAUUGUCGCUGUGGGAAACAUUCCUGUGAGCACCUUCCCCCAGGAGGAAUUCUGGGAUAGAAUGUUUGUAUUGAUGGCAUACUACUACACUCUGCACUUAACAUACCCAAAAUGUGUAGCCACAGUCCUCUCUGUCAUGCAGGCAAAGGUAACUGCUGAUGCCAUCCAUGAUCAAGAUGCUGCUAGUGCAUAUAAGAAAGCAAUAGGUGAAUGGAAAUCAUUCAUUGAAAAAUAGGUGAACAUCAAGCAGCAUUUUGUCAGUUUGUGUUAAUUUGUUUGCAAUGUCUUUCAAUAACAUUUUUUGUGCUUCACUUGGCUAGCUACUCCACAAGUUUCUCCUCAGUGUCCUUACGUUUUUUUGCCAAAAGGACUUAGAAUCCCUCAAAGGACUUAUUUUUUCCUUUUUGAGAGGUUUAAAAGUUUUGACAUUUUAAUACACUGUCAAUUGUUAUAGAAAUUUUUAUUUUGUUUUUGUGGAUUCUAUUCUUGUGAAAAUCACAGCAAUACCGGCAGCAUGUUAUGUGUUUUGAUUGCAGUUAGUUUUGCUGUGCAAAAUUAUUAAUUUUUCUUUGAAAAAAUCUUAAAUCAUCUUAAAUUUGAUGCUGAUGUUAAAAACCAUGCCACAAGCCUGGCUCACUGUU